GACGAACGCUGGCGGUGUGCUUAACACAUGCAAGUGGUGCGACGAACCAGAGCUUGCUCUGGGGCAAAGCCGCGAACGGGUGAGUAACACGUGGGUAAUCUACCCCGAUGACCGGGACAACCCGAGGAAACUCGGGCUAAUACCGGAUGUGGUACGGAGACAUAAGUCUCUUUACUAAAGGUAGCUUCGGCUUCCGCAUUGGGAGGGGCCCGCGGCCCAUUAGCUAGUUGGUGGGGUCAAGGCCUACCAAGGCAACGAUGGGUAGCUGGUCUGAGAGGACGAUCAGCCACACUGGGACUGAGACACGGCCCAGACUCCUACGGGAGGCAGCAGUGGGGAAUCUUGCGCAAUGCGCGAAGGCGUGACGCAGCAACACCGCGUGAGGGAAGACGGCCUUAGGGUUGUAAACCUCUUUCAGAUGGGACGAAGGUGAUGCGGUGAAUAGCCGAUGUCAUUGACGGUACCGUCAGAAGAA
rnacentral:rRNA from 1 species